GUGAGCCCAGCUUGCUGGGUGGAUCAGUGGCGAACGGGUGAGUAACACGUGAGCAAUCUGCCCCUGACUCUGGGAUAAGCGCUGGAAACGGCGUCUAAUACUGGAUACGAGCUGCGAUCGCAUGGUCAGUAGCUGGAAAGAUUUUUUGGUCAGGGAUGAGCUCGCGGCCUAUCAGCUUGUUGGUGAGGUAAUGGCUCACCAAGGCGUCGACGGGUAGCCGGCCUGAGAGGGUGACCGGCCACACUGGGACUGAGACACGGCCCAGACUCCUACGGGAGGCAGCAGUGGGGAAUAUUGCACAAUGGGCGCAAGCCUGAUGCAGCAACGCCGCGUGAGGGAUGACGGCCUUCGGGUUGUAAACCUCUUUUAGCAGGGAAGAAGCGAAAGUGACGGUACCUGCAGAAAAAGCGCCGGCUAACUACGUGCCAGCAGCCGCGGUAAUACGUAGGGCGCAAGCGUUAUCCGGAAUUAUUGGGCGUAAAGAGCUCGUAGGCGGUUUGUCGCGUCUGCUGUGAAAUCCCGAGGCUCAACCUCGGGUCUGCAGUGGGUACGGGCAGACUAGAGUGCGGUAGGGGAGAUUGGAAUUCCUGGUGUAGCGGUGGAAUGCGCAGAUAUCAGGAGGAACACCGAUGGCGAAGGCAGAUCUCUGGGCCGUAACUGACGCUGAGGAGCGAAAGGGUGGGGGAGCAAACAGGCUUAGAUACCCUGGUAGUCCACCCCGUAAACGUUGGGAACUAGUUUGUGGGGUCCAUUCCACGGAUUCCGUGACGCAGCUAACGCAUUAAGUUCCCCGCCUGGGGGAGUACGGCCGCAAGGCUAAAACUCAAAGGAAUUGACGGGGGACCCGCACAAGCGGCGGAGCAUGCGGAUUAAUUCGAUGCAACGCGAAGAACCUUACCAAGGCUUGACAUACACCAGAACACCGUAGAAAUACGGGACUCUUUGGACACUGGUGAACAGGUGGUGGCAUGGGUUGUCGUCAGCUCGUGUCCUGAGAAUGUUUGGGGUUAAGUCCCGCAAC
rnacentral:rRNA from 1 species